AAACUGUUUAUUUCGGAGAAGCCAAAUCAGCUCCCACGGUAUAUAACUCUUCAUAUUUCUUGCAUAAACAUGGCCCCGCAGUUCGAAUCUCUCAUCAAAACAGAACCUGAAAUUUCAAAUAAGUUGAACAUCUAGUUCUGCAAGUAGAAAUCUCAAACACUUUCAAAAUACAGGACUUUAGUUACCAAAAUGUUUGUGUUCCAACCGCAUAAAGCAGCUUUUUUGUAACCAAAACAACUUUUUCAUAUCCAUGUCAUUAACAUAUCCAUGAGGUGAUGAAAGAUUUACAUGGAUGCAACUCUGACGGUAAAAUUAAAUCUACUUAACAGAGAAUAUACUAAAUCUUAUCCUAAUCUAAUAAUUUUGUAUUAUUAAUUUUGCAGUUCUUUGCAGAAGCAGGGUUUCCAUGCCCAACGCGAAGAAAUCCUUCUGAUCACUUCCUUCGGUGUAUUAAUUCAGACUUCGAUGUUGUCACAGAGGUUCUGAUGGAAUCUCAAAGAAUAUGUGUAUGUAUAUGGUUAAUACAUAUUGUUAUAAUUUCCUAUCAAAUUCUUGCAUUGAUUUUUACUAUGUUUCUCUUUUACAGUCUGUGAUUGAUAUUGAUUGCAGUUAUAUGCAGAUUUACAUGAAACAUAGAAGUAGCAAAUGCGGCUUGGCGUCACUUUUAUUCUUUUAUACUUUUACAGAAGCCAUUGUAUUUACAAGAAAGAUAAAAUCUGAUCAAAUACAAUCACGCAUCCAUUCCAAAACGGGCAUAAAGCUGCUAAAUUUUAUCAAGGAAAAUGACUUGACUAAAACAUAAGCAUGUCACUUUCAAAAUGCUACAACCAGUGUGAAAGCAUUCGUUUCAGUUUAUAUUUUCAGCUUCCAAUUCUUCAAUUCAAAUUUGGACUGUCGUUUCAUAAAAUUUAUGUUUGUUUAUUUGCUGACUCCAGGAAACUCAAAACCCUUUAGGUCCUAUAAGAAACUUACCGACAUCAGAGAUCAAAGGGAUUCUAAUUAAGAAAUACCGGUGCUCAGAGUAUGCAACAAGAGCAAGAAGUAGGAUUCAAGGAAUUUCAAGCAUUGUAAGCAUUUCAAACCCAAGUUUUGUUUUAAUCUACCUUUUUCCUUCAAAAUAACUCCAGUCAUUAUGUAGAUUUGUAGCUGCCCUCAAAUACAAUAUUUGUGAGGUAUUGUACAACUAGGUGUUGCAAAAUCCUAAGUUGUAGUGAUGAAUGCCUAACCCAGCAUAAGUUCAUGUAUAAGCAAGGCACAACAGUUUUCCACCAAGAAUAUUUGAAAAGCAUUUAUUGAUAUUGCAGGAAGGGCUUGAAUUCAAAAGAAAGAAUGGAAGCCAAGCAAAAUGGUGGAAGCAACUCUCUAUAUUGACACAGAGAUCUUCACUGAACAUGUCUAGAGAUUUUGGAUAUUACUGGUUAAGGAUAGCAAUCUACAUAAUCCUGUCAGUUUGUGUUGGUAGCAUCUUUUAUGAUGUUGGAACAAACUAUACCGCAAUCUAUGCACGUGGUUCUUGUGCAGCUUUUAUAUCUGGUUUUAUGACAUUCAUGUCCAUUGGAGGAUUUCCAUCUUUCAUUGAAGAAAUGAGGGUAAAUACUCCCAUCUCAGCAUUUAGACAAUUCUAUUGUGUAGCUGUUAGUAACCUAACCAUGGUGGCAAUGGUUUUUAGGCUUUUACUGAUACAUUUUUCCUCCUCUAAAAUAGGUCUUUUCUCGUGAAAGGCUUAAUGGGCAUUAUGGGGUAGCUGUGUAUAUUCUAUCUAAUUUCCUAUCUUCACUCCCGUUCUUGACUGCGAUGUCCUUCGCUACCACAUCAAUUACUUAUUACAUGGUGAAAUUUAGGCCAGGAAUUUCACAUUUCAUUUAUGCUGGCCUUGAUCUUACUAGCUCCAUUGCGGUAAUAGAGAGCUGCAUGAUGAUGAUAGCUUCAAUGGUUCCAAACUACUUGACAGGAAUCAUUAUAGGAGCUGGAUAUCUUGUAAGAAUAUUAAGAUCAUUGAAUUUUUCAGUCCCCCCCCCCCCNNNNNNNNNNNNNNNNNNNNNNNNNNNNNNNNNNNNNNNNNNNNNNNNNNNNNNNNNNNNNNNNNNNNNNNNNNNNNNNNNNNNNNNNNNNNNNCCCCACAACAAAAGUAGGCUUAUGUUUGACACUGAUUAAUGAAAUUUUUCUUAGGGAAUCAUGAUGAUGACAUCAGGGUACUUCCGAUUGAUUCCUGAUAUACCCAAGGUCUUCUGGCGUUACCCAAUUGCUUAUAUCAAUUAUGGUGCAUGGGCAUUACAGGUAAGAUUCAUUGAAAUUGCCUAUCCCUAUUGUUAACCAAAAUGCCUUCUAAAAACCAGAAAACUAAACCGAAUAGUUGUGCAGGUAAUUCUAAAUAUAUGGGACUCAAGAGACUGUUACUAUUUACCCAGUCAAACAUAAAUAACAAAUUUAUCUCUAGUCUUGACAUGUGAAAACCGAGAUAUCAUUAAGGAAGGUUUCUCCAGAUGAAGUCUUCCACAAGGCAUCCUACUAGAUUAUAUCAGAAUAAAGCAUUAGCACCAAGAUUCAUGUAAAGGCAAUAAUUUUCAGAUCAAAAUAGUUAAAUUCACUGUUCUUAUGAUGCACAAUGUAGGGAGCUUACAAGAACGACCUGAUUGGGCUUGAGUUUGAUGCUAUCGAUAGGGAUGGGCCGAAACUUAAAGGCGAUGUGAUCCUUAAAACAAUGCUUGGCAUGAACCUGGACCGUUCAAAGUGGUGGGAUUUAGCUGUUGUUGUUGCCAUUCUCAUUUCUUACAGAGUUAUUUUCUUUGCUAUUCUAAAGUUCAGAGAAAAAGCUUCACCUGUUUUCCAUUCGGUUUAUGCCAAAAGAACUCUCCAUCAUCUUCAGAAAAGACCUUCAUUCCGAAAAAUGCCACCUUUUCCUUCCAAGAGGCAUCAAGUUCUGCAUUCAUUGUCUUCUCAAGAGGGUCUAAAC
rnacentral:lncRNA from 1 species